rnacentral:rRNA from 1 species
AUUGAACGCUGGCGGCAGGCCUAACACAUGCAAGUCGAACGAGUGGCGGACGGGUGAGUAAUGUCUGGGACACUGCCUGAUGGAGGGGGAUAACUACUGGAAACGGUAGCUAAUACCGCAUACCAUCGGAUGUUCCCAGAGUGGAUUAGCUAGUAGGUGGGGUAAAGGCUCACCUAGGCGACGAUCCCUAGCUGGUCUGAGAGGAUGACCAGCCACACUGGAACUGAGAAACGGGCCAGACUCCUACGGGAGGCAGCAGUGGGGAAUAUUGCACAAUGGGCGCAAGCCUGAUGCAGCAAUGCCGCGUGGAUGAAGAAGGCCUUCGGGUUGUAAAGUACUUUCAGCGGGGAGGCGUUACCCGCAGAAGAAGCACCGGCUAACUCCGUGCCAGCAGCCGCGGUAAUUC